UACGUAGGGUGCAAGCGUUGUCCGGAAUUAUUGGGCGUAAAGAGCUCGUAGGCGGUUUGUUGCGUCGGCUGUGAAAUCCCGAGGCUCAACCUCGGGUCUGCAGUCGAUACGAGCAAACUAGAGUGUUGCAGGGGAGACUGGAAUUCCUGGUGUAGCGGUGAAAUGCGCAGAUAUCAGGAGGAACACCGGUGGCGAAGGCGGGUCUCUGGGCAGUAACUGACGCUGGAGGCGCGGAAAGCUAGGGGAGCAAACGGG
rnacentral:rRNA from 1 species